CUGUAUUAUUAUUGUCAAUAUUUAUAGCCUGUAAUUAUCAUGCAAAAUUAACUAAUGCAAAAUGAAACUAAGCUCAUAACCAACAAACUAUUGUAGUUGAUUUUUUUUCCAAUCAAAUAAUGACUUAUGUUAAGCUCUCUCCUAUGGUUGUGUUCUUUCUUGCCACAUUUGUAAUGUUGUUAAUGAGGAAAGGAAAGGCACAAUUUUGUACUGGUAGUGAUUGUAUAAUAGGUGGUUCACCAUGUGGUGGUGGUUGUUAUUGUGCUUCUUUAUCUUUUCCAGUUGGUGUUUGUAUCCCCGUAUUAAUGUAAGAUGUUAUCAUGAAUAUGAUCAUAUGAUAUGUCAAUCUCAUGAUGAAUCUAUACUUUAAAUAAACCUUUAAUUAAAUAGUUUGUUUCCAACUAAUGAGUUGGAUUUUAUUAAAUGAUGCAUGUAAAUGGGAGUGCAACUUAAAUAUAUGUUGCUACUUAGCAAAUAAUGUUAAUGAAUCAUUAUUAAUUGUUACAUAA